CAUCGCUCUUUGUAAACAAACAAAAUAAAGAGUCGAACCUGCCCAGUGAAUUUUUUAACGGCCGCGGUACUCUGACCGUGCAAAGGUAGCAUAAUCAUUUGCCUUAUAAUUGAAGGCUAGUAUGAAUGGUCUGACGAGAGCAACACUGUCUCCUUUUUAUUUUUUAGAACUUGACUUCCAGGUGAAGAGGCCUGGAUCUUAUUGAAGGACAAGAAGACCCUGUCGAGCUUGAAAAACAAACAGAAACACUUAUGUUUUAUAGCAAAUAUAUAACUGUUAAUCUUUUUUGGUUGGGGCGACCAAGGAACAAAAAGAGCUUCCUUUAUAAAUUAAUUUAAAACCUAUACGUUUUGAUCCAGCAAAGCUGAUUAAAAAAACUAGUUACCGCAGGGAUAACAGCAUAAUCUCCCUUGAGAGACCAAAUCGAAAGGGGGGGUUGUGACCUCGAUGUUGGACUAGAAUAUCCUAAAGAUGCAGAAGUCUUUAAGGGUUGGUCUGUUCGACCAUUAAAAUUCUAC
rnacentral:rRNA from 1 species